AGGCACUAGACGGGGAAGUAGCGGCUCCCUGUAACCUGAAAUCCGCUAUAGCAGGGUUGAAUUCCCCAAUGAGGGAGCCGUGCUCGAUGCCGAGUCAGCGCGUAAGUGGUGUUGAAGGCUGGACUCUGCGCAAUAAGACCCUGUGAACCCUGUCAGAUUCGGAAGGAAGCAGCAGUAAGCAGGCAACCUUAUGUGCCGCAGAACCAUCUGGCCGGAGCUAACUGCCCGAAGGACGGUCGAAAUCGGUUUUCAAAGCGGGGUGUGCUU
rnacentral:SRP_RNA from 1 species